AUACCUUUCUCGGACUUUUGGCUAAGAUCAAGUGUAGUAUCUGUGCUUAUCAGUUUAAUAUCUGAUACGUGGGCCAAUGGCUCACACGAUAUUAAAUUUAUUUCUCUAGGGGGAGGAUCCAUC
rnacentral:snRNA from 1 species